UAGACAUUUCUGUAAUUUUUACAGUUAUUUACUGUAUAUCACCCAGUAUAAUACUGUAAACUAUUUAUACAGUACAUAACUGUAAUUCGCGUUGCAUUUUGGGAAUUUUCUGUGACAUCAUACAUCAUAUACAGUAAUUUACUGUAUUUUUGAAAAUUGCUGUAUGCUACUGUAUAUUUUCUAACAGUCUUUUGGCGGCAUUUUCCUUAUUCACACAAAUCCUUAUUUUAUUUUUCUCAAAAUCAUCAUUUUUGACAAUUGUAUACACACAGGCGUUGACUUAUUUUAGCUAAGGAACCAUGUAGCAGCACAGGUGUUCAGAGGACUGAUUUCAGGUGUGCACAUAAACUGAAGAGUUUUCAAACAAGACUUUCCCUGGGACAGCACAGCGGCGCUUUUCAGUUGAAGAUACACGAGAGGAGAGAAUGAAAAAAGACCAGCAAGGAUAAAUUAAGGAGGAUGUAACAAAAUACACUGCAAGAACUGGAAUGAGAGACAAGUGAGGAUGAAGAGGACAACAGAAUAUCCAUCCUUUCUUCACCACCUCACAGAGUUUGAGUGAAACAACUUGUAUUAGGACUCACAGGAUUAUUUUAUAACAAGACUGAUUAUCUUAUACCAGAAGUUUGGUAUUUUUUGAAGCUACUGUAUUAUGACAAUUCAUUUUGAUGUGCAUUCAGAACUGUAAGUUGGUAAGUACAUUUACUGUAUUUACUGUAAGUAAAGGCUAAAGAGUAUAUCUCCUCUAGUUCUAAGUUCUAACAACGUUCCCAAAGGUCCCAAUAAUGUUAAGCCAACAUAAAAGUGUCCAGUUUUUAAAUUGUUUAGGAAUGUUUCUUGAUUGUCCGAAUGUUAGAGGAAUGUUACAUUUUAUUUUCAGACAAUGUCAUGGUUAAAUGUACUCACAAUGUUUAAAACACAUGUUUAGUAUAUUUUAUGAAUGUGUUUUACAACAGUUUGUAAAUAAUAGAAUGUAAUGUUUUUUUAUCAUUACAAGCAAAAACGUUCAUAACGUUAUUGGGAUCUUUGGGAACUUUCAAGGAACGUUCUUAGAACCUUUCUCUGUGUUUGAGCAUUGUGUUAGCAUCAUAAAACGCCAUGGGUUCGAACAAGGGAAUGCACAUGCUGAUAAAAAAUGUAUACUUUGCAUUGCACUGUAUGUUAUUUGCCUUUUUCUGUAAAUGUGAAGAUAAAUGUAAAGACAGACAGUCAUUGUUUCAUUUUAAACCAGUUUUAUUUUAAGAGAACUUAACUAGACUAAAUAAAAGGGUCACAAAAAUUUUAAUUUUGCUAUUAUGAUGCUGAUUUUGUGGUGUUAUGGGUUUUCUGGUUACAGUGGUAGUGGAUCAUGAUCACCUCUCUAGCUUCAAAAGUAGGAUGCAAAAUGUAUAACACCAAAUCAUUAUAGCAUAACUCCAUGUAACUUGACAUAAUUUAAAGUCGUCUAAAGGCAGACAUGAUUGCG